UAGUCCAUGCCGUCAACUAUGAGAGCUCAUCUUAGAAAAACUGAGAUUUAGUUAACACGUUAAGCUCUUCGCCAGGGAAGUACGAUUGCAAGGUUAAAACUCAAAGGAAUUGACGGGAAUCCAUACAAACGGUGGAGCAUGUGGUUUAAUUCGAUACAACGCGUAAAACCUUACCAGCUCUUGACAUGGAAGUCGCGUCUUUAUGAGAGUAAAGACUUCGGUUCGGCCGGACUUCGCACAGGUGGUGCAUGGCUGUCGUCAGCUCGUGUCGUGAGAUGUUGGGUUAAGUCCUUUAACGGGCGCAACCCCUAUCUUUAGUUGCUAACAGGUAAUGCUGAGAACUUUAAAGAGACUGCCAGUGAUAAACUGGAGGAAGGUGGGGAUGAUGUCAAGUCCUCAUGCCCCUUAUGAGCUGGGCUACACAUGUGCUACAAUGGCGGCCACAACGGGUUGCGAAGAGGUGACUCUUAGCUAAUCCUUCAAAAGCCGUCUCAGUUCGGAUUGUUCU
rnacentral:rRNA from 1 species